AUUGAACGCUGGCGGCAGGCCUAACACAUGCAAGUCGGACGGUAGCACAGAGAGCUUGCUCUCAGGUGACGAGUGGCGGACGGGUGAGUAAUGUCUGGGGAUCUGCCCGAUAGAGGGGGAUAGCCACUGGAAACGGUGGCUAAUACCGCAUAACGUCGCAAGACCAAAGAGGGGGACCUUCGGGCCUCUCACUAUCGGAUGAACCCAGAUGGGAUUAGCUAGUAGGCGGGGUAACGGCCCACCUAGGCGACGAUCCCUAGCUGGUCUGAGAGGAUGACCAGCCACACUGGAACGGAGACACGGUCCAGACUCCUACGGGAGGCAGCAGUGGGGAAUAUUGCACAAUGGGCGCAAGCCUGAUGCAGCCAUGCCGCGUGUAUGAAGAAGGCCUUCGGGUUGUAAAGUACUUUCAGCGGGGAGGAAGGCGAUGUGGUUAAUAACCGCAUUGAUUGACGUUACCCGCAGAAGAAGCACCGGCUAACUCCGUGCCAGCCGCCGCCGUAA
rnacentral:rRNA from 1 species